rnacentral:rRNA from 1 species
ACGGGUGAGUAACGCGUAGGCAAUCUGCCUUCUAGAUGGGGACAACAUCCCGAAAGGGGUGCUAAUACCGAAUGUUGUAUGAUCUUCGCAUGGAGAUGAUACUAAAGGUGGCCUCUGAAUAUGCUACCGCUAGAAGAUGAGCCUGCGUCUGACUAGCUAGUUGGAAGGGUAACGGCCCACCAAGGCUUCGACCAGUAGCCGGUCCGAGAGGAUGAACAGCCACACUGGGACUGAGACACGGCCCAGACUCCUACGGGAGGCAGCAGUGGGGAAUCUUCCGCAAUGGACGAAAGUCUGACGGAGCAACGCCGCGUGAGUGAAGAAGGUUUUCGGAUCGUAAAGCUCUUUCGUUAGGGACGAACGUGCUCUUUGUGAAUAAUGAGGAGUAAUGACGGUACCUAAAUAAGAAGCCACGGCUAACUACGUGCCAGCAGCCGCGGUAAUACGUAGGUGGCAAGCGUUGUCCGGAAUUAUUGGGCGUAAAGCGCGCGCAGGCGGGAUAUCAAGUCUGUCUUAAAAGUGCGAGGCUCAACCUCGUGAGGGGACAGAAACUGGUAUUCUUGAGUGUCGGAGAGGAAAGUGGAAUUCCAAGUGUAGCGGUGAAAUGCGUAGAGAUUUGGAAGAACACCAGUGGCGAAGGCGACUUUCUGGACGAUGUCUGACGCUGAGGCGCGAAAGCUAGGGGAGCGAACGGGAUUAGAUACCCCGGUAGUCCUAGCCGUAAACGAUGGGUACUAGGUGUAGGGGGUAUCGACCCCUCCUGUGCCGGAGUUAACGCAAUAAGUACCCCGCCUGGGGAGUACGGCCGCAAGGUUGAAACUCAAGGGAAUUGACGGGGGCCCGCACAAGCGGUGGAGUAUGUGGUUUAAUUCGACGCAACGCGAAGAACCUUACCAGGGCUUGACAUUGAGCGAAAGACCUAGAGAUAGGUCC